rnacentral:rRNA from 1 species
GAUGAACGCUGGCGGCGUGCCUAAUACAUGCAAGUCGAGCGAACAGACGAGGAGCUUGCUCCUCUGACGUUAGCGGCGGACGGGUGAGUAACACGUGGAUAACCUACCUAUAAGACUGGGAUAACUUCGGGAAACCGGAGCUAAUACCGGAUAAUAUAUUGAACCGCAUGGUUCAAUAGUGAAAGACGGUUUUGCUGUCACUUAUAGAUGGAUCCGCGCCGCAUUAGCUAGUUGGUAAGGUAACGGCUUACCAAGGCAACGAUGCGUAGCCGACCUGAGAGGGUGAUCGGCCACACUGGAACUGAGACACGGUCCAGACUCCUACGGGAGGCAGCAGUAGGGAAUCUUCCGCAAUGGGCGAAAGCCUGACGGAGCAACGCCGCGUGAGUGCUGAAGGUCUUCGGAUCGUAAAACUCUGUUAUUAGGGAAGAACAAAUGUGUAAGUAACUAUGCACGUCUUGACGGUACCUAAUCAGAAAGCCACGGCUAACUCCGUG